rnacentral:lncRNA from 1 species
GCAGCUCGAGCACUUAGAAGAGAGCUUGGUUCCUACAUCCAUACAGUGACAUAGAGUGGAAGGAAGAUUGUAGCUUUAUCAGCUAGGUUUAGGAGACCCAAUGGCGGCUGUGGCGUCCAACCGGCUGGCGGUCUCCGCCACCCUCCUCCUCGCGCUGAUUGUCACCGGCGGGUGCCUGACCAUGGCCUCCGCCGUUCCUGUCGCCAAUGGUCGCCGUCUGCAGCAGCUUGAUACCAGCGGCGGCCUGACGAGCCAGCAGCUGCACGCACUUACGUCUGGUCUCCAGAAGCUUAGCGACGAACUGCAGAGGCAGUUUCAAACAGUUCCUUUUGCGAGCGAGAUACUAGCCCAGCUGCUACGAGUUGCGAAGAGUUUCGCCCUAGCGCAGAGCAAGCUGCAAACCGAUGUGCAGUUGUUGGGCCUGCUGAACCAGCUCGCGACGAAGCUAGCUGCACAAUCGAAGCAGUUUCAGAACCUACAAGCAUUUGGCGGCUGUUUCAGGGAUCUUCAGGCCAGUUUGAAGGUGAUCAGCGACCUGACGAGCCAGCUCAAGUCAAUCACGGCUGGCCUUCCUGUGCAGCCGGGAGCUCUGAUCGCCGCUCUUGGGAACCUGAAGAACACCGUGGACGUGAUGAUGAUGGAGCCAUGCCCGCCCGGCUUCAAGAAGCUUCCGAGCACUGGGCAGGGCGCUAUUAAUACGAUUAAUGCAUUGGUGGCCGCAGCUGAAGAGCGGAAACCAUUAGAUUUACCCUGAUGCUACGAGUUAGAGAUCUAGGGAUGGCAGUGUCGUUCGUUUCCUUCCAUAGUCAACCGUGUCCUCAAGUUCUUCCUUCCUUUGCCACUGUUGUUGCUGUUGUCGUCGUGUUAAUUUGCUGUUCCAUUUGUUGCCGUUGAUUUGAUAUACGUUCGCUGCUUGAUUUGAGCUAGUGCCAUGAGCUCAACUCUGAUGUAAUAAUAAGCUCUUGCUGUUCAAUUGGAUUGUGGGUGAUAAUUUAAUUUAUAGGUCAGAGCAACUUCUGUUGACAUCCCAUUGUCCGUCUUAGAUUUAUCGCUCUUUUGAAUCUAAGGGCGCGCUUGGUUCCAGCACGUGGUUCACCUCGCUUUGCAUCGCCUCGUCGGCGUGAGCAACGAGAAACUUGCCGAGGCAGGUGAGCCGAUUUGGCUCUCCCACGAAAGCAAGCCAAAUCUUGCCUGCACAAGCUCCAAAGUGCUCGGAUAAGGGAACCAAGCACCCUGGCUGGCUCAGUAGCCUCGCCUAGUAAGGCAAUACAGGACCAGACAAAGGAACCAAGCGCGUCCUAAUUUGCCACCCUCUCUCUCCCGGAUCCCUCUUUAACAACUGAUUGUUUUUUUUCUAAGCUAGCACCAUUUAUAUUUAAGGCUAUUUGUUUCAAUUAAUAUACUCCCUUCGUCCCGCAAAAAGUAUCCAUUUAGACUUUAAAAUUUAUCUCGCAAAGAGUAUCAUAGUAAACAUCAAAACAACACUCACACCAAUAAAGAAAAAACAUAUAGAGAAGCGCGUAGAGCCAAUCAAAUGAUCAAUUGAUGUUAUUUCUGUGGUUCCAAUGCACGUACAUUUAUUCAUAAUUCAGAAAACUAAAUAGCAAGCACGAUUUUCAAUCAAAAUUAAUAUUAGUUAUUAGGGGUACCAUAGACAUUUCUCAUCACUUCUAAUUUGUCUGAAAUUUUCAGAACAGACACUUUUGCGGGACGGAAGGAGUAUGGGCGUGUUUGGUGGCCAGCCACGCACGCCCGCGCCACAGCCUGUGGUGGGCUUUCCAGGCGUCACAGCCUGCCGCAGCAAAUGAUGUUGUCUGUAGCGUGGCGUACUGUGUUGUGGCGCGAGUAGUGUAGCUGUGGCGUGCUGUGGCUGGCAACCAAGCAGCCCGGCCACGAUGUGCUGGCCUGCAACUCAAACACGCAAAACAAAGGAAAUUAAAGGUUUAUUAGAGAGCUCAUCAGCAAGCCAAGGCCGGCGAACGUGUCACUAGCUAAAGCGCCGUUUUCGAAGGUGUCGACUGGCGGCAUGGGGCCUCCUUGUGCUUCUGCUCCUCACUGGCUGGUGGCUACUCACCAAACAACUCGUAGCGUAGGAACCUUAUUGGAAACAUGCUAGAUAUGUGGAAUAAUCUCUUUCCAUGUAUUUCUAAUAUCAUUUUGAGCCAGGAUGAAGAUGAAUUUGACUAGAACUUACAUCAGAACGGAGAGCUUUCAGUAAAGUCUCGUUAUCUACAUUUGAUCCACGCUAAAGUCCCAAACAUCAAUAAACAUAUCUAGAAACUAAAAGCGCCUUUAAAAUAAAAAUUUUCUUAUGGUACCUUCGUAGAGGUGUUAUGUUAAGAAAAAACAGCUUAGCUAAACGUAUGGCAGGGCAGUAGACAGUGUUGCUUUUGUUUUCAUGAUGAAACUCAUAAGUGCGUGGCACAGGUAAUCAAGGAGUUUUUUUACCUUAAUGUAACUAUUAUUCUAGUCUUCUGAUCGAGAGACAUUAGUGUGUCCAUAAUUUGUUUUUCUUUUGUUUAAGGCUGUGUGUCCCCCGGCAAAGACCGGGAGUAUUUCAAGGACUAUUGUAUCAUCUUGAUGUAACAUUCUUGAAGUUAAUAAAACUUUCCAUUUCAAAGAAAAAACAAAUUUACCAUAUAUUUUUUAACAUAUAUGUCAAGUGCAUUGUGGAAGAUAUAGCACUAAUCCCUUUCACAAAAAUAAUUAAACUAGUUUUUUUUAAAUGAACUGGCAGGAGGAGGACUGCGAACUUAAACAUCGAGCACCGAUGCACGAUCUAGCUGCUAGAAGCGCAUGGGAUGCGAGAGGUAUCAAAGAAUAUCAGCAGGUUGGACGAGCAAAAUUAACUACCGAUUAUUUGGAGAUAUCGGAAUGAAACUAUCAUUAGUUAGGAUGAUACGAAGAAUGAACAAUAGACUGCUACGUUGUGUGUGAGUACUAUAUACUUGGACAAUCAUGAAUCAUACCCGUCACUUGCUUCGGUCGCGUGUAUUAUGUUAUGUCCAUCAUAUCAAGCAUGAUCAGCUGGCACAAACGCGUGGAACCACUCGGGGCAUCCAACAUGAGCCAUGGUCCGCACGUUAAACUAUCCCAGAAUCAAACUUAUAUUUAGUUUAUUGUUUCCAAGAAUUAAUGCUAGCUAGGGACAUUAUAUAUACUAGCUGUGUUGGUCAUGUAGAGUGAAUUCUAUAAGAAAUUAGAAUCCACAUAUACUGAUACAAUAAUCCCAGCGAGAUAUGCAUGCCCAGUACAAAAUGGAUUUUUGGAGGUCGUCUUAGUUUUUUCGCUUAUUAAGACUACAUAAGUAUAAACCAUCUUAAUUACUUGACCACAAUAUUCCUUGACCUCUAAACAUUAUUUUAACUAAGAAGAUAGUGAGCAUCACAAACCAAACCACCACAUCUCUUACCCAUUUUUUUCCUUGGAAAAAAAUUGGGUGGGGACGGUUCGUAGAGUCCCUUCCGUGCAGCCCGUCCCUAGAUUGGCGAUGCGUGGCUGCUCGAGGGAUCCGAGGCUCACGCUCAUCAGCACUCGUUUCCACCUGGAAAAGGCUCGCAGCUCAGCUUCCUCCGAUGCCUGCGGCUCAGGCCAUUGGCUCCCACAAGGAAUUUGAUCUGGCUUCCAUCACCGUAACGUCCGGAGCCCUUCACGCCCGCGAGGUCAGGAUAAGGACGCCUUUGUGCGAUCCUAGAUCGUGGCAAGGAAGGACAACUGCUAUAGAAGUCUUCGACGAGCAUCGCAGUCGUAGCAGCCGUCAUGGGAGAAGGAGGCUAGGAGGAUAGCAGUCUGCACUCCACGGCAGGAUAAGCCUCCCCACACGUCACAGGUGCAAUGGCGGUAGGAAGCUAGGAGAAGGACAACGUUCUCAACUUGUCGCCUAUGGUGUCGUCUGUGCCUGCCCUAGCACACAACAGAAUGCAGCCAAUGCAGGUACAUAUUUUUUUUUUACGUUCUUUGAUCAUCAUGAGUUUUCACGUGUGUUUGACCAUGUUACAUGACCUCCACCUCCACUGAUUUGUGACCAUAUAUAUGCUAGAUUGCACAGAACUACUCCGGCAAUGACAUUAGAGUUUGUUGCAUGAUACCUGAAGAAAUAGUAGAUGAAGCACAAGAUAAGGUAACUAAAUUACAAAUAAUUUAUUUAAUUGAGACCAUAGUAUUUCGUAUUGUGGUAAGUCACAUUAAUUCUCGACUUAAUGUACAACAGAUGGCUAAUGAAGUUGUGCAACCUAUGAUCAUUCCUGAAGUUGGAAUGGCUUUUGAAUUAGAGGAUAAAGCUUAUGAGAUGUACAACACCUAUGCUGGCAAGAUUGGGUUUAGUAUUAGAAAGAGCCAUACAAAGCAACGAGGAGAUAGGACUCUACCUCAGAAAUAUUUGGUUUGCAGUAACGAAGGUCAUCAAGAAACUGAGUUAUCAAGAGACACUACAAGGACGGAUUGCGAUGUUGGUGUUCAGUUUAGUAUCAGUAAAGAGGGGAUUUGAACAGUGCGAAAGGUUGUACUUGAUCACAACCAUUACCUUGCUAGUCCAAAUAAAAGGGAGAAGCUGAGGUUCCAAUGAAGUGUUCAAGAAGCGGGCAAGAACCUAAUUGGGCAGAUGAGGGAAUCUGGGAUGAAGCCAGUCUAGGUUUUGAGUUUAUGAAGAAGUUUUAUGGAGGAGCCAACAAAGUGACAUUCUCAUGGAUGGAUUGCAACAAUGAGAUUGGACGUGAGCGCAAGAAGUACUUAGAAUUCAAUGACGCGGAAACACUAGUGGAAUACUUGAAGCGUAAGCAGAUAGAGGAUCCAAUAGUUUUUAUGCCAUGCAAAUAGACAAGAAAGAUGGUCGGUGUUGGGGGGAAAUAUUAACGAUCCCCUAAUACCCAUUAAAACGUCAAUCGUGGGGGCCCAGGCCCACCUGAGGUAAUGAAGAUUGCCGUCGGCCCAACAUGGGAGGGGAGAGCACCGCUCCGCCUUGCCCAACCCAGUGCCCCAGGGUCUGAUGAGCCCGACCCCUUGAUGGCCAGACUCCGCCUCGCCCGACCCCUUGGCAGACAGGCUCCGCCUCGCCCGACCCACGGACCCAGGGUCGGGAGCGCCCGACCCCUCGCCGCAAGUUUCCACCUCGCCCGACCCAGGGCACGGGGGGUCGGACUCACCCGGGCCCACAAGACAAGAAUCCGCCUCGGGCGCAGACUAAAAGGGAGCGUGGAUCUCGUGGGCCCCCUUGUCGAGCUCGCCAUAAAUGCGUCGCGGCUCUGGCGCACAGAAAGGCGCCCGCGUCCCCGAUGCGACCCACCACAAGUACCCAUGCACGACCGCACAGCGCAGGCUACAGUGGUCGCGGCUCUCCCCGAUUCGUUACAGGGCACUCAUGGCUUGCCGCCCGGCACAUGAGGAAGCUCCGCCCGUUCUCGCGCCCCGCACAUCCGGCGACAGGGACGCGACGUCCGCGUCCCACGGGCCAUCAGCAAGAUGACAGGACCAGCCGCCUUCCCCAACGAGCACAGAUGCCACGACCAAACAUCAUCAUCAUGCAUGGUGGCAACGGCCACCAGGGAGAUCGUCGACAGGAUCCGAAGGUAGCCGCCCUCUUCCGGUGGACGCGCUGACAAGAGCCGAAGGCCAGAGCGGGGGGCGGCGGCCCUGGAACUCGGUCCCUCUCCUUAUUUUGUACUUUACUUAACUUAGUUCAUCUCUUUUUUACUUCUCCUCACACUCGAUCUCACCGGUAACCUCGGUAGCCUCCUUGCGCUAUAAAAGGGGAACUAGGGGCCCUGAGACGGGGGAGAGACUCGCAAGCUAACAGAACUUACACACGCACCAUUAGAGCAUCAGUGUACACCCAAGAGACUUGGGACCGGCUCCCUCUCUCGCCUUCCUGUAACCCACCCCUACUACAGACCUUGCAUGGGCAACACGAGCAGCUCCUCAUACUGGACGUAGGGUUCUUUCUUGCCCGAACCAGUCUAAACCCCAUGUCUCCCACGCCACCAUCCGAAGCCUUACGCGCAUAAAAGAAAUUUACUAGUCUUAGUCUUGAUCCGCUAAUCUUGACAACGACAGUCGGAUAGCCAAUUUAUUUUGGGCAGAUGGCCAAUCUACCAUGGAUUACGCAUGCUUUGGUGAUGUUGUGUCAUUUGACACCACGUUUCAGACUAGUAAGUUUGAAAUGCCUUUUGAUCCAUUCCUCGGAACCAACCAUCACAAGCAGACUAUCAUUUUUGGGUCUGAAUGUAGUUUAACGAGACUAUACCAUCAUUUGUUUGGCUCUUUGAAACCUUUCUAACAUCAAUAUCAGACAAACAUCCUAGCACAAUCUUCACUGAUCAAGACGCGGCCAUGGUAGGAGCAAUUGUUUAUGUAUUUCCAAACACAAGUCAUCGCCUCUGUUUGUGGCAUAUUUACCUUAAUGCUGCUAAACAUCUUGGCCAUGUAAUUCAAAAGCAUCCUGACAAGUUUCUACCUGAUUUUAAGAGAUGUGUCUAUGAAGACAGAUCGGAGUUUUACUUCAAAAAUAAAUGGAAUGAAUUGUUGCGUGAGUACAACCUUGAGGACAACAAAUGGAUGGCAAACCUAUAUGAUUUGAGGGUAAAAUAGGCUGCUAUGUAUCGUGACUCAUUUACAGCUGAUAUGAACUUGACCCAAAGGAACGAAGAUCUGAAUAAUGUAUUCAAGAAAAUAUUUCAUAGAAAACUAGUCUUUCGGAACUCCUUGAAAAAUGUGAGAAGGUUUCUAGUAGUCUUCGUAAUAAUGAGUUGGAUGAAGAUCUUAAUUCAUGUCGAAAGAGCCCAGUUACUCAUAUUUCUCUGUUGAAGACCGCAGCUGAAUCAUAUACAAGGAGGAUGUAUAAAGAGUUUGAUGAAGAAUUUAACAAAUAAUUUUCAUUCUCUUAUAAGUUUUUGCAAACCGAAGGGUCAAUUUUGACAUAUACGGUUACACAUAUGCAUUAUAAUUAUGGAGCAACUGUCGUAUUCAACAAAGCAGAUAGUACCAUUACAUGUUCUUCCAGGAAGUACGAAGCCAUAUGUACGUAUAUAUACAAAUUUGAAAUUGCAAUAAUACAACAUCUAAUACAAAUUGAUGAAACAUGGCAUCCAUAUCUAUAGGUAUAUUGUGCAAGCAUGCCUUCAAAGUCUUCAAUGUGAACAAUAUUUUCAUUUUACCUUCGCAAUAUAUACUGCACAGAUGGACAAAAUAUGCAAACAGAGGAUUUUAUAUUAAGAAACAAAUCUGAGGAGGAAAGUUAAAAAACAUAUGCCGCACAUAUGUCAUGGAAGGCAACAUCUAUUGCAUUGAAGUGUUCAAAGUCAAAAGAAGCGAACUUAAACUAGUUGACUACGCCUACCAUCGAGCACCACCGAUGCACGAUCUAGCUGCUAGAAGCGCAUGGGAUGCGAGAGGUAUCAAAGAAUAUCAGCAGGUUGGACGAGCAAAAUUAACUACCGAUUAUUUGGAGAUAUCGGAAUGAAACUAUCAUUAGUUAGGAUGAUACGAAGAAUGAACAAUAGACUGCUACGUUGUGUGUGAGUACUAUAUACUUGGACAAUCAUGAAUCAUACCCGUCACUUGCUUCGGUCGCGUGUAUUAUGUUAUGUCCAUCAUAUCAAGCAUGAUCAGCUGGCACAAACGCGUGGAACCACUCGGGGCAUCCAACAUGAGCCAUGGUCCGCACGUUAAACUAUCCCAGAAUCAAACUUAUAUUUAGUUUAUUGUUUCCAAGAAUUAAUGCUAGCUAGGGACAUUAUAUAUACUAGCUGUGUUGGUCAUGUAGAGUGAAUUCUAUAAGAAAUAAGAAUCCACAUACUGAUACAAUAAUCCCAGCGAGAUAUGCAUGCCCAGUACAAAAUGGAUUUUUGGUGGUCGUCUUAGUUUUUUUCGCUUAUUAAGACUCUACAUAAGUAUAAACCAUCUUAAUUACUUGACCACAAUAUUCCUUGACUUCUAAACAUUAUUUUAACUAAGAAGAUAGUGAGCAUCACAAACCAAACCACCACAUCUCUUACCCACAGUUUUUUCUUGGCCUCCACCACCCACCCAGCUCGGCCACUCUUAUCUGUGUGUCAUCCUUUUUUUUUUUUACCAUUAGGCCCCGUUUGGAUCAUUGGAAUUGAAUUCCAUCCUAAUAAUCAUAAUUUAGACACAAAUUAAUUAAGCUAAUAUAAUUGUAUGUGGAAUAUAGUUGCAUAUUAUAGUUGGUGAUAUGGGAGAGAUACUUGUAUGCUGCACUUCUACUAUAGAGAAGCGAAUCUAAAAGCGUGCUAUAAGAAUUGAAUUCCAUUCUAAUAACCAUAAUCUAUAGAAUCAAUUUCCAUCUCCCACCCCAUGAAUUUAAGAUAGGCUUAUAUCUAAACUUUGGAAAGUUGUAGAAUGCCACAUUCCAACAUAAAUUAGCCUACUCCAUUAAAUAGAUUCCAAUUCCUUGGACCCAAACGGGACCUUAUGGUAUUAUGAGCCAUCAUCAUCCAUGGAUCACACCUUCACUGCUCUCAGCUGUUAGUUCUUGUCACAGCUCCUAACUUGUACUUAUAUAUUCUUGUCAUCCUUUUUUUUUUCUUCUCAGCUGUUAGCCUGUCACAGCUCCUAACUUGUACUUCUAUAUUCUUGCUUGCUCCCGAACAGACUCGCAAAAACCGGUAGUUCGAGCACUUGGAGAGCAUUGUCGAUUGGAACCUGAUCGGGGCUACAAUUCCACUCUUCCAGAGCUAGCUAGUUGGCAAGUAAAUCGAGAGGUACUCGUUGCAACAUCCAUGGGCCAUACAGUGAUAGAGUGGAACGAAGGAAUGAAGGGGAUAGCUUCAAUUAGCUAGGCUCAGGAGACCCAAUGAAGUUUGCCGCGUCAAGCCGGACGACGGCCUCCACCACCGUCCUCCUCGCGCUGAUCGUCACCGGCUGGUGCAUGGCCAUGGCCGCCGCCGUUCCCGUUGCCGAUGCUCGUCUCCUGCAGGACAUUCCUGUCACCACGGAAGAAGGUGGCGACCGGCGUCUGCAGAGCCAGCUGAGCAGUCUCGUAACCAUAGUGGAGUCGGUGCUUAGAAAAUACGGCGUGACGAAGACUGUGGCUAACCUGCUCGACCUUGAUAUCCAGCGGCCGCGAGCUGUUCCCGGCGAUCUUCAGAUCACUGGGCAGGCCCAGCCGCGAACACGGCGCGAUCUUCAGAGCCCGCUGAACCAAGUGGUGAGUGAGCUGGAAACGGUUGCGAAGUCGAUCGCGGGCAGUCCUCUUGAGGUACUUCCGAUCGAUGUGGUCCGCCGGAUCAUCGGACUGACGAACCAGAUGCAGUCAGUUGUGGGCGCUCUUCAGGAUCUUCCAGUCAUCGAUGGGCAGGGACAGCUGCGAACACGCGUGGCCGCUCUUCGGAGCCUGCUGAACGACGUGCAAGGGCAGCUGCAAACGAGGGCGUCCCGUCUUCGGAAUCCGUCGAGCAAUGGGCACGAUGUUUCUGGCAUCCAGGGAUCGGCGUGUGCGCAGCAAAAGCCCUGAUUGCUAAAAAGUGUAGUUCGUUUCCUUCCCUACUGGGCUACUACUUACUAGUCAACUGUGUCCUCGAAUACUUUCUUCCUUUGCCGCUGCUGCGGUUGUUGGCACCAUUGCUGUCAUCGUGUUUGUUGCUGCUGUUGUUGUUCAUUGUUGUGGUUUAUAUUUUUUUUUAAACGAGCCAAUAGGAGAGUUGCUGCUAUAUUGAAAAAGAGGAAUGUCCGACGACCUAAGUAUGCUUGAUUUGAGCCAGUGCCAUGUGCUCAACCCUGAUGCGCGUGCUGUUCCACUGGUUUGUGGUGAUAAAUUUAAAAACCAGAGGAAGCUUUUUUUUUCCUUUUGAAAGGACGGCAGGAAAUUUGCCGCAAGCUUUAUGAGACGAUAGAACAACCAGCUGCCCUCAACAAAAAAGACAACUAAUAACAACUAAAAAGCGGAUACGCUCAAUGCAAGGAGCAAGCUCUGUUCACAUCACCUUGUUCUUCUUCUUUUUCAGAAUAUAAAUAUUCCUAGGAAAUGCUAAUUAGCGCGCGCCACGAGGGUUCCUGACCAUCGAUCUCCGAUGUACAUUUAUUUUCCGUUUUGGUGGGUUCCGCUAAUCCCCUGGUGUUCUACUGAGGGGUGCCCGAGGUAGUAUUUUGGUUAGUAAGGCUCGUCGAGAUCAGAAACUCGAAGGUAAACACAGAUACAUGAUUUAGAUAGGUUUGGGCCGCUAGAUUGCGUAGCACCCUACGUCCUGUGUGUAGGUUGGAUUGAAUUGCUUUGGAGGGGGUCCCUACCUCACAUUAUAUUGCAGGGGGUAUGGUUACAGGUCGGUUGGUUACAAGAAUACUAGUCAGAUACGACUAAAGGAGUUCUACUCUUAUUACAAUGAGUACUUUUAUAAUCUUUGACUAGUUCCUAUCUUUCCAUGUAGACUACGCCGUCCUGCGCCAUGGUCUCCAUGUCAGAUGCGUCUCGGUGUCCAGCCCUAUAUUUAGGACUAUCCAAACCUUCUGGUAGGCCCAUAAAUGUAUGUACGACAAGCCCCUGAGUACUUUUUAGUCAAAUGCAGCAGUUCCAGGUACUUUUGCAGACUUCAUCGACUAGUUUUGGUGCUCUUCGAGUACAUCGACUAGUUUUGGUGCUCUUCGAGUACUUCAUCUGGUUGAAUCUUCAAAGAUACCCAAAAACUGUCAUGCGGCUAGAAUGUACUCAAGCCUCAUUUAACUCAGUCUCAUAUCAUUCAAUCUUGAAUUUAUGUGGAAGUGUGAUGAAGGUUGCACUCCAUAUGGAGUAGACCCCGGGCUUUAGGUUGAAUCGAAGAAUCAGGCUAAGGGUCAGUUUGUAAUUCGCAUCACUUUCCCCUUAAAACUAGGAGAAAAAAAUUUAUUGUCGAUGGAUACGUGGUACAUAGCCCCCGAGCCUUUUAGCCAACUAGUUUGGUGGGUAGGGUCAACCUUUGGUCAACGUGAUCUCUGGAAAGAGAUCUUAUCUCUUCCUGAGACAAAGGUAACUGCCAAUCAGGUGUCCCAAAAUUUGGGGAUCCUUUUAUUUGCGUUGUUGUUACCGCGCCACUGUGAUAAAAACGGAGGAAGUUAUCCCUUCCGUUUUACCCUUGCCAUUUGCCUUUCUAACUUCCAAACAUUAGCCCGUCGGUGCCAUUGUUCGAUCUUCGAAUACCUGUGCCGCCGUCCCCCCACCAAGUAGCCCCCAAGCGUAUGCGACUGAAAACGCUCGUGACAUCGAAGAUGGGAAGGAAGGCUACUGCGUCCAAAACGGGCGAAGGUGAGAAGAAGAAAAGGUCUGAUAAGAAGAAGGGGCCGCAGUUGCUGGCGCCCAAGUACGGGAAGACUAAUCAGACUGCGCCGCCAAAUCCCAUCUGUGCCUGAAAGCGGUCAACUUUGAAGUAGGAGGAUAUCAAGGCGCUCGUAACCGCCAAUUUACUCCAAGAUUAGAACUUCAUCAACUGGUGAUCUGCAUAUGGCAACACCUGCCCCUUGGAGACCUAUCCUGAUGGGACAGUAAUUUUUGCCCACUUCAUUGAGAGGGGUCUCACAUUGCCAACUUUAGAUUUCUUCCGGGACUUGCUAAAUUUCUAUAAAUUGGAGUUGGUUCAUCUGAACCCCAAUGGAAUCUUUCAUAUUGCUAUUUUCAUCCACUUCUGUGAAGCUUUUCUAGGGAUCAGCCUGCAUUUUCAGUUAUUUCAAAAAAAUUCCGUGUGAAGCCUCAACCCUCAAAAGAUCAUACCCUCUUGGUUGGAGGCGUCGGGAUCCAGAUGCGGGAGACAAUGAGCAGCUAGUAUUUGGAUUACGAGUUGAUAGACUCCAAUGCCGGGUGGAAGGAGAAGUGGUGCUACAUUGGAAACCAUGAUCCAAAACUAUCCAAACUAACAGGGCAUUGCCCCUCGUGGAACAAUUGCUGGCUUAAUGAGCCAAAGCAUGGCGAUUGCCUACAAGUAUCCGAGCUGGUGAAACGGAUAGUAGAUCUAAAGGAACAAAGUCUGACCGGUCUUGGUGUCGCAUUCAGCUUUAUGAAGCGACAUAUUCAGCUGCUACAGCAGCGCUGUCAUUUAGGCUACGAGUACACCGACCUUGAUGAUCCUUCCAUAUUCUCUCCUGAUGAAAUCAGCACAGAUGAAAUCAUGGCUAGGCUCAAGCGAAUGUUCAAGAACGUGACCGGGAUCUCAACUAUUGUGCGGGAAUUCAACGCCUCACACCCGCCGAAGCCUGUAAGUACCCGUGGCCUCAGCCCCCGAGUACUUAUUUUGAAUGUACUUGUCAACUAACUUGUCUCAUUUUGCAGGAAGAUGUUGCUUUGUACUUCUCUGCUUCUCCUCCUCCUGGAUUCGAAGAAUCAUGUGAAGCCACUCCUUGCGUGUUUACACGGGAAGGCACGAUAGGUGAUGACCAGGAGGAAGAAGUAGUUGAGUCCUCCAGCAGCACUAGUUCUGAUGCUGCGAAGAAAUAUGAAGUCGAGGCCUGACCAUCUGUGAAGGCCGGAUCAUCCUCCAGGUCAAAGAAGUGCUUGGCUACAGAUGAGCUUGAAGCCACGAUCCCUCCGCCACCGGAGAAGAAAAGGACCAUUGCUGCGAAACGAGCCGUGAAGAAAUCCAUCGCUGCGGAUAAUGUGCCCCCCAAGGAAAUUACCUAUGAGGAAGGAUAAGGUUCUGAGUAUCUUAUACUCCCAAAAGGUGUUUCCAAUGUCACCAAUAUGUCUAAUUUAGAUGAUACUAGUGGUUUGCAGGCGAUCGAGCCAACGACGAACAUGGAGAAGGCAGCUGCUUUGGCUGCUCAAGAUAGGUCACCGGUGAACAUUGAAGUCAUUGAGAUUGACGAUGGUCCGUCAUCUCACCGUGCUGCUGAUGACCAGUCAACUGGUCAAAUGAUGGACCCUGCCAGCGCAAAAACAACUCGAAGACCAGAGAGAGUACUACAGGCUGGUCAAGUUCGCAUUAUGGAGAAACAGACCGCACCCAAGGUACCCUCCCCGAGCAUCAAGCCUUUGCGCUUAACGGGAGAGCCCAAGUAGAAGUUAAAAAGACCAUCCACGUAAUUCUGGUUCUCUCGUGAUUACUUAUUGUAUCGCGUUGUCUUCGCUACUCAAAUUUUGUUUUCGCUACUCAACUUUGGAGUUCUUCGUUCUGUAGGAAAUCUUCGAACAUUGAAUUGUCAGGGCCUGGCGAGAAAUCGAGUACUGAUGGCCUUGGUCCCUCAGCAGAAGAUCUUGCCCUGGUGCCGCCAACCCCAAUGCCUCAAGGGCAACCUAAAGAGACUACGACUACACAGAGUGUCGUAUCUAGUGUGGCUACAUUGAUGCACAAGGUAGUUGAGUCAAUGGCGGAUGUAGAAGUGCCAGCUCCCAAGCCAUUGCCCAAGGGCCUAGUGACUACUCCUGGCAUUGUGGCCUUUCCAGUAGCCCCCGAGCCAGUUGUAGAAAUUGAAACGGCAUCAGCUCUAGAAGCUAUGGUGACAGAAGCUGUCACGGCUGGGCCAUCAAGUAGUCAUGCCUUGGUGCUGCAAGGAGAAUUCCAUGCAAGAUCUGGAGCUGAUAAGAAUAUCCAUAUGGAGUACAUCCAAUUGAUCAAUGACCCAUUACUGAACCCAAAAAUGGUGUCACUAAUGAUGGAGUCACAUCGCCACCUGGGCAAUUAUAUGCUGGUAUAUCUCCUUGCCCUUGUUUUGUUGGAGAUAAUCAAUGGAUUUGUUCUCAUGAAUUGCCAUGAGUACUGAUGUUUGUGCUGUAGGACAUCAUUGAGUGCUCCCGCCGCAAGUCACAAAAGCUUGAGGGAUACAGAGAUAUAGUGCUUCGCGCGAAGGCGCUGGAGGAGAAGCUUGCCAAAGAGAAAGAGUACUCCUCGAGGUUGCUUAUGAAGUUUGAUGGGAUGGCCACUGAGUACCGCAAUCGCAUUCAGGAGCUCAUAGAACAAAAGGAUCGCCUUGUUGGACGAAAAAGGUCCUUAAGCCAGAAAGUCAAAGGUAAUCCUCUGCUCUUUGCAAUUUUGUGUUUGUUGAUUCUACUCUGUAGUUUUUGACCCUUAUUGUACAUCCAUGUAUAGCUUUGAAAAAGGUCAAGAAGGAUCUCGAGGUGCGGGUCACGGAUUGGAAGAAUUCUUAUUACCGUGUGACUGACCAGCAUGACAAGCUUGUUCUUCACAUGGAAAAGCUGGAGCAUCACCUUGAGAAGGAGAAAAAGAUGCACGAGGAUGGUGAGGCUGACCUUGUUCAAGCCAUGGAGACUUUGAAGAACCGUGAGGCAGAGGCGGAGAGUACCUCCUUUGUUCUGAAGCAAAUCUGUGAAGUCGCUCAGCCCAUUGCGGACAUGAUAGAGCCUCCAGUUGAAGGUGUGGAGCCGCGUCCUCUGUCAAAAAUACUCAAGAAUGUGCCAGACCAAUUUUCCAGCUAUAUCCAGAAGAUGGCCAAGUUGAUCUCCUAGCAAGUGUUGAGCUUCGUGAAGUCAUUCUACCCAAAAGCCAAUUUGGCACCCAUUGCUGAGGGCGUGGCUGGCGACUGCACUGAUGAAGCCCUUCAAUAGUAUAUGCAGGAGAUGGCCCCAAUUGCUAAAGAAGUGGCCAAAAGACUAGAUCUUGAGUAGUUCUGCAUUGUAAUCAAACAUUAGUAUGAAUAAUUGUCAAUGAUUGUAAUAUAUUGAAGUUUAUGCAAUUAUUUUCUUGCUUUGCGACUUGUUAUUUUUAGUGCCUCUCAUAAUUAAUCCUGAUUGUUGCUCAUACGAUUAAUGUGAGUGUCUUCACAUAAGGCUUCUUUUGUGAGCCUCAUCAGAUGCACAUUGUAGAGUACUUAGGACGCAUGUCCUGUUGUGGAGCGCGAGUACUCGAGCUAUCAGGAUAGUAGACUACUAGGUGAGUAAUCUCUUCAGGAUUUCGACAAGUAGAGCCUAUCUUUGCAACUUCCCUAAGUUGUAUUGAUGUUACGCUUUGGAAAGGCUGAAACUGCAGACUUAUUAUUACAAGCCGCGACUAGAUAGAUUUGUCUAGUGAAUAGUCACUCCGGUAGUUAAUUAACUCCUAACGUACUGAUUGCUUCUUUUCUGCAAGCCGCCAAGGGACAGGUUUAUCCAAUGAGUUCACUAACUCAUGAAAUUUACUAUAGACUUUCUUUGCAAGCCGCGAUCGGAUAAUUUUGUUCAGUGAGUUGAAUAACUCGAAAAAAUUCAAACUUGUUAUUACAAGCCGUAUUUGAGCAACUUUUGCCUAGGGAGCUGAAUAGCUCAUUGGAGUUUGUGCAAACUUGUUAUUACAAGCCGCAAUUUAGGCGAUUUUUCCCAAGGAGCUGAAUAGCUCAUUUAGGAUUACUGCGAACUUGCUUCUGUAAACCGCGAUAAGGUAGAAAUAAGUAGUCAAAUUACGACGAGAAUAUGAAUGCGUUGAGUUGUAAUUCUACAACUAGGGCCGAUGGCCGAUUUACAUAAAUAUGCAAAUAUGGAUUUAGGGAUAAAAUCGACAGAGUUGCUCGAUGUUCCAUGAGUUGUCGACGUCUUCACCUUAAGGGUGUUGUAAUUGAUAUGAUCUAGGUCCAGUGACCUUGGAGAUGACAAAAUGCCCCUCCCAUGGUGAGUUGAGCUUGUGCAGCCCUUUGGUGUCCUGGAUACGGCGAAGGACCAUGUCGCCUAUGUUGAACGAUUGUUCUUUGAUGUUUCGAUCAUGAUAGCGGCAGAUUCCUUCAAGGUACCUUGCAGACUGGACGCGUGCUGCACAGCGAGCUUCUUCGAGGCUAUCUAAGUCUAGACGUCUUGUUACUUCUGCUGCACCUUCCUCGUACUGCUCGACUGUUGGAGAUUUCCACAUGACAUCGGCAGGUAGGACAGCGUAGACUAGGAAGUAGAGCGAUUGCCCUGUAGGCUUGCAUGGCUGGGUAUGGAGCUCCCAGAGGACAUUGGGUAGUUCUUUGAGCCACUUGUCUCCAUUCGUGUUUCUGAUAUCGUGCAGCCUUUUCUUGAGAGCUUCCAGUACCAUCACAUUAGCUCGCUCAACCUAGACAUCGGCCCGUGGAUGAGCGACAGAGACAUACCGGACAUCGAUCCCACUGUUCUUGUAGUACUCCUAGAACGCAUGAUUGUUGAAGUUGGAGCCCAGGUCUGUGAUAAUGCAAUUAGGGAAGCCGUAGCGCUAGACAAUUCAUCGAGGAAGUCGAGUACUCUUUCUGCCUUUGGGCAGGUUACUGGCUUUACCUCAAUCCACUUGGUAAACUUAUCAAUUGCCACCGGUACUCGGUUGAAUCCUCCAAGCGUCGUGGGCAGUGGGCCAAUCAUGUUGAGCCCCCAGCAUGCGAAGGGCUAAUAGGGUGGUAUGAUGAUCAACUUAUAGGCAGGAACAUGCAGUUGCUUGACGAAGAAUUGGCACCCUUGGUAUCGGCGGACUAGUUCCUCGGCAUCAGCGAGAGCUGUAGGCCAAUAGAGCCCUGAUCUAAAAGCUUUACCCACGAUUGUUCACGAGGACGCAUGGUUCCCGCAAAUGCCUUUGUGGAUCUCCUCCAGCAUGUCCUUACCAUCUUGUCGUGAUACGCACUUCAUGAGUACUCCUGACGAUACGCCUCUUCUGUAAAGCUUGUCUCCAACUAGAACAUAGUUCUUGCUACGUCGUAAGGUUUGCUCUGCUUUUGUCUUGUCUGAUGGUAACUUGUGCUCUUUGAUGUAAUGAAGGGGACCCUUCAGUCUACAUCGAUCAUCAUGACCUCUCGAUCUAGUGUGGUAGGACCUUGGUCAGUGGUUGUUGAUGGCGCUGGCUUCAUUAUGGAUGGCUUGUGUAGUUCAUAGACAAAAAACCCUGCUGGAACUAGAGCACGACUAGAUCCAAGCUUGGAUAGGACUUCUGCGUCAACGUUGUUGUCGUGAACUACAUGGUGGAACUCCAAACCAGAGAAUUUGUUCUCUAGCUUGCGUACUUCUAGAAAAUACGCAUCCAUGUUCACCUUGUGGUGGUCCCACUCAUCGUUGACUUGAUUGAUCACCACUAAAGCACUGGAGGAGCCGGAGCCGUUUUAUAUGGAGAAGUUGGAGCAAAAAAAAAUGGCUCCUCCAGCUCCGGCUCCUUUAAGGAGGAGCUGGAGCCCUACCAAACUAGCCCUUGAGGAUGGGGAUGGUACGAUCGAUCUGUUGUAAAUCCUGGCGAGCUCCCAUGACACCAGCCCAGGCAGAGUGUCUGGCCCCAGCACGUCUUUGAGCGUACGGAAGCGCAGGGGGGCAUCGUCAUCUUGGUUAGCGUCUAGUGCGUCGUGGACGUUGCACGGCAGCAUCGCGAACUCGAUGGUCUCGAGCGACGGAUGCGCCGCGACAGGUGCAGGCGCGGGCGGCGUCAUGGGCGCACUGACCGUCGAUGGAGUAGAGGCCACGGGCGGUGAGUUCACGGCUACGAGGCUCCCCCCCACAGGCUCACCCUCCACAACCACAGGAUCGGUGUACACCGGGAACUCGACGGAGAACGUCUCUGCGCCGCCGCCGUCUUCUCUUCCAGCACCGGUGCCCCAGUCCCACUGGGCACCCUCAUCGAACACGGCAUCGUGCGUCACGUGGACGCGACCAUCCAUUGGAUUAAACAUCCUGUAGGCCUUCGAUCCCGCCUCGUAAUCGAUGAAGAUCAUUGGUGUGCUUCGAUCCUCCAGUUUCUUCAGAUGUGGCUUUGUGUUUCGCACAUGAGCAAUGCAUCCAAAGGUGCGAAAGAAACUCACCGCCGGCCGCUCGCCAUGCCACACCUCGUAGGGGGUCUUCCCAUCAAGGUUGCGGGUGGUUGAUCUAUUGAGGAUGAACACCGCUGUCGUGACGACUUCACCUAAAAAUGUCCCUGGGAGGCCCUUCGCUUUCAUCAUGCUCCUUGCCAUCCCGACCAUCAUCUAGUUCCACCACUCGACAACCCCAUUCUGUUGAGGCGAGUAGGGGCCCGUGAGCUGCCGCUGAACACCCUCUUCCGCGCAGUAGGCCCCAAACUCCACCGAGGUGAACUCUCCACCCCUGUCAGUGCACAACACCUUGAUCUUGCGCCUUGGCUCCACUUCUUCCACCGCCUUGAAUCGUCGGAUUGCUGCUGGUGCCUGAUCCUUGCUCACGAGAAGACAGAGCCACAUGACGGCUCAGAUCAUCUACCAGCAGCAGGAAGUAGCAAUUCCCGCUUAGAGUUGUCGAAGUGAUGGGUCCGCAUAUAUUGCCGUGCACCAAGUCGAGAAGCCCUGCUGCUCUGCGCCACGCCAGCACCGGGAAUGGGCUUCUGCGCUACUUCCCCGCCAGGCAGUUGUUGCACAAUUGAUCAACAUGAUCGAUGUGCGGCAGUCUGCGGACCCGGUUGCCGCUCUAGAGUUUGCGCAAUGCCUGGCCGAAACGCUGGUGCCAGCGUCAUGACUCGCUGCCUCACCGUGCUACCAGGCAGAUUGGGUGCGCGAUGUUGAAGCGGAUGGUGUACAGGUGGUUGGGGGAGCGCCGCACCCGAGCGAGAAGGUGUAACAUCCCGGAAAAAUUCACCAAGUUAAAUCACUCACUAAAAAUCAUUUUCAAAAUCUUUUUAUCGUUUGAGCUCCCAAAUCCCGUCUUCCCGACGAUUCCGCCAUCCCGGCACCAAAGCUGACCACCGUCCAUCCUUUUCCCUUAUCCUCUCUACGAGUCAACGUGCAUGCUAGAUGGAAGACCGCCGCGCAUGCCCAUGACCAUUUUCUGCAAUCACCAUCGUCUCUCUCUUUUUCUUCUAUUUUUCCUUCCCCUUUUUCCCUUCCUUUUUCUCCCUUUUUCUUCUCUUCCUUAUUUCCCUUCUUUUCUUUUUUCAUCUCCCUUCCUGUUUCUUUUUCUUUUUCCCUUCCUCCCUUUUCUCUCUCCUGCCACACCUCAUUCUUUUAUGGCUGCUCCCUAGCUCCAAGCACGCAUGCGCCUAACUCCUUUUCCCUGUGCCUAACGCCAGGCCCACCAGUGCCUGCACCUCUCCCAGCACGCACGCACCUCCUCCCUGGCGCGCAUGUCUGGCCCACCAACGCUGCCCCCCUCUGCCUGAUGCACGCCACCGCCUGGCCCACGUCGGCCCCACCUACACAGCGUCGCGCCACACCCCAGGCCACGGCAACACGCACCACGAUCCCUGCGCUCUCCACGCUCCACCACAGCACACCGCUGCUCCCCAGUGCCCACGCGCGCUCGCCACGACACCGCCACACGCCGAGCCUGGCUGCCCCUCGCCUUCACCGCGCCGCGCGCUCGCCCCGCACUCUGCCAUGCGCCUGCUCGCGAUCACCACGUACACCGACACCACGCCGCACGCCGCGCCUGGCUGCACCUCGCCUUCACCGCGCCGCGCGCUCGCCCCGCACACUGUCGUGUGCCUGCUCGCGAUCACCAUGCACACCCGUGCGACACCGCGCCUGGCCACACACUCGCCUCCCCAGCUCGCAGCAAUGCCGCCCCUCUGGGCGUGGUCACCACUGCCCAUCGUCGCGACACAACAAGCGCCCUAGCCACACCAUCCACGCGCACCGCCGCUCGAGCACGCCACCGUGUCCCUGUUCGCCUCGCCGCGCGAGCCCGGCCCCAUCACGCCACGCACGCAGAGCGCCACCUCGCUACGCCACCAACCUGUGCGCUUCCUGUGUGCUCGAGCAUCCCGCUGCCAUUAACUCCGCCGUUCCUGCGCAACGCCCGUCGGCAGCCCCCUCCCCCUCACCUCCAGCCUAUAAAGGGGCCUCCGCUCCACCACCAAGCUUCCUGGCCAACUCCCUCGCUCCUGAGCUUCAGUGCCGCUCCCGCAGUCUCCCGCCCGCCGCUGUGGAGCCGCCUCAGCCCGAGGUAAGGAGAGGAAUCGAACCCCCUCGACCUCCUCUCCAUUUUCCCCCUCUUCCCGAUCAUCGCCGUGCCUCGACGCCGCCUCUCUCCAACCCGGCUGUUUCCCGUUUCGUUCUAUUUCCGUGCGUGAAGUUUUUGUCUCAAGAAAGAAGAAAGAGUUAUUUUGCCUUUUUACCCAUCCGCUUAUUUCUUUUCGCAUCAGAACCCUCCCACCUCUCUCUUUCUCUUUUUCAUCAGAGACCCUUCCACUUCCAAAAAUAAUUACAAAGAGGUCCCUAACUCCUUACAAAUAAGCCCUUGAUCCUCUGUUUAGCUCCUAAACCACCUUACCUUGUCAUUUUAUGCGCCAAAUCCUCUCCAGUAAACCCCAAAUUCGACCACGUCAUUCUCAAAUAUAUUUCCGCCAAGUCAUCUACAAAAUCCCUAAAAAUACUCUCAUUUCCUAUUUUUAGUUCACUCCCUCUCUUCAAGCUCAACGAGUAAAACUUUAUUUUCUUUUAUUUAUUGUGUGCUUGCUUGUGUGUGCCGUAGAUCGUGCAGUGACCGCGGAGGAGCCCGACAAGAAGCUUAAAGCCUAGUACCAUGAGCCGAAGCCUGAAGACCAGUACCGUGAGCAAGAACUCCCGGCCGACUUUGAGGACGGUAAGUCCAAUGUCACCCUUUGAUGCAUAUUUAUCCUAGUUUUUCAAACAUAACCUGUUGGCCUAUUUUAUAAAAUUGCGUAUUGUUUUACUACUGAAACACGGUUGGAUAGCCACCCAUUGAUUGUUAUGAUUAUUCCUUGAUGUCCUAUAAUUAUCUCUAAACAUGAUUUGCUCUAUUGGGAUGAUAAUUACUGCUAGAAUGCUUAGACUUGUUACUCAUUUUAUUACAAUUCAAAUAUGACUACAAUGUGUUUAUCAAAAAAUAAAGGUGUGAGUGUUUUAAAGGAGAAAAAUGGGUUUUCGGGAAAUAAAGGAAAGAAAAUGCUUAGAUGAGAUGGAUGGGUGUUUCUUGUGUGAAAUGCCAAGUUGGGCUCGUACCUUUGUGGUUGAGCAGGUUGGGAGAUAUCCAUCUUGUCACGGUUAAGGACCGAGUUGAUGUGUCAUCUUGCCAAACACAAUUUAUCGUGCAACCACUCGACCGUUGUAUGCGGCAACAGCUUAGUAUAAAUCCUACUAGUUAGUCUAUUAGCCAUCAGGAGAGCUGGUGAGCAAUGGGAGACCAUGGAAAAGGAGUAAAAUCUUUGUGACUUAGGUCUCGGUUAAGACAUCGUUGGUAGGUCGUUAACCCCUUGGUUGUUUCCGUGUUGGCUAGUCAGGUUUAGCUAAGGUGGGUAAUGGCUUUGAUAGGAUCUACACCGACACUAAGGUGAUCGUGUUGCGGUACCCUACUUGUGGGUAAAGUGUAUACCUCUGCAGAGUUAAAACCUAUCCGGAUAGUUGUGCCCACGGUAUUGGACGAGCUACAGCUUGGACACAUGACUAGUGUUGGGAGAUGAAUGAUUUUCAUGGUGUGUGUUGGAUUUUGGAAGUGUACAGCAGUUGUGCCAUGAGCUACUGCAGACGAGGAGUUUGGUACCAUUAAAACUUGGAUCCUUCAUGUAGGAUCAACCCCACUUAUUGAUUCGAUUACUAAAGAAAUGCUUUGCGAAAAUCCUUUUGAAAAUGAACCCUUGCAUGUGUUAAAAUCUAGCUUUAUUGCAAAUAAACCCUAGCCUUACCCUUGAUAUAUCCUGUGCAUAUUCUUGGUUGUAUCCCCCUCCGUGGAUGGGGUUGGACAUGUUGAGUACUUUUGUACUCACCCUUAUUUUGUUGCUUCAGAGGAAGACCCGGACUUCGUUGUCAAGGAUUUCGAGUAGGAGGUCGCUUCUGCACCCAACGCUGCCUGUGGUGUUGGUCUUUGCAUAAUGCUUCCGCUGCUGUGUAGUCCCAAGUGCUGUCAAGAAUGACAGUAGCUUGGGUCGCUGCUGUUGUUUAUUUACUUAUCAUUUCGACGUGGCUUUCGCGCCCACUCCCUCGGGAGUUAUACGGUUUAUGAACCAUCUGUUGAAUAAAUGUGUUAUCAGCCUCCUGGAACUGAUAUUUGUAUCACAUUUAAUCUCUACUUAUGUGGGGACGCUUCAAAAGGCGCCUCUGCUCAUCGCGGAUCCGCAUCACCCCAUUGUCGAUGUGGAUGUCGUAGCCGUCCUCGUCGAGCUGUCCGAUGUUGAUCAGGUUGGUGUCAAGGCGCGGGAUAAAGGAGACGCCAGUCAGCUGCUUGUGUUUGCCGGUCUUGUAGGUGAUCAGCAUUGUCUCGCAGCCCUCGAUCUUGACCACUGAGCCAUCCCCGAAGCGCACGGUGUCGAUGACGCUGUUGUCGAGCUCGGAGAAGACGGUGCGCGACCCAGUCAUGUGAUUGGUCGCGCCCGUGUCGAGGUACCAGAGGGUGUCAUCAGAGGGGUCAUUGCCGUCGAGCUAGACGAAGACUCGAGCCUCCACCAGCUGAAGCGGCGCACCCACCCCUGGCAGCCAAAUCAUCGGCGGCGGCACGUUGACUGCAGCCGCAGCCGGAGGGGGCCGGACUUGGAUCAAGUCCACCCUCGCCAUCAGCAGAGUGGGCUCCUCUUCUUCGGCCUGUGCAGCGUGUGCCGCACCGCUCUUGGGCUUCGAGGGGCACUCACGGGCCCAAUGCCCCAUCUUCCCGCAUCUUCGGCACUGGUCGUCGUUGACCUUGCGGCCCGACCCAAAGCUUGAUCCCCCGCUCGAUGGGCUACGCCGCGGCCAGCUCCGGUGAUUGCCGGACUUGGAACUUGUAGAGGAGUUGUCACCUCUCCGUCGCUCCUUGGAGCACGCGAUCCACUCCUCCUCCGUGAGGUAGAGCUUCCCGUCAUCACGUGGUGGCAGUGGAGCGUCGUCCUCGGCUGCCCGGUCCUCCGCCACGUGCAGCCAUCCGCUGGCGUCCUCCAGCGACAGCGUGGCUAGAUUUGUCGUGACCUCGAUGGCGACAGUGACCUGCGACAAGUGCUCGCAGGAGCUUCUCCACGACCUUCUGAGUCACGAUCGUCUCCCAGUAGUCUCCAGUGCGGCUACGAGGUUCUAUAGCCGCAACGUGAAAUUGUCGACGCCCUCACCGUCAUUGAAGCGGAUCAUCUCAAACUCCCGGCGGAGGCGCUGCGCAUUCGUCUUCCACACCGAUUCGCUGCCGAUGCACCAGGUCUUCACGGCAUUCCACGCCUCCAGCGCCGUCACCUUCGCCGCCAACUACACCACCAUCUCCUGAGGCAUGGCGCUCGUUAUGGCGUCGAGCGCCAUACGGUCCUCCUGCAGCGAGACGCCACCAGGCUUAAUUGCUUCCCACAUGUUGCGGGCUUGCAUCUUGACUUUCAUCACCAAAGACCAUUGCGUGUAAUUAGUCUUGGUGAGCAUGGGCCAAUUCGUCGCGCUGCCGAUGUCUCGAACGACGCGCACCACCUCCUCCUUGCCACUACCACCAGCUUCGUCACCCUUUCCACCGGCUGGCUUCCUGGGAGAGCUGGGAGGGGUCUUCUUCUUGUCGCCCACCAUGAGCGCGUAGCGGAUCGCCGGAUCACGAUACCAGCGGCGGUACCUGACCACGAUUGAUUCCCGCUCCUUCCUCAGCUCUGAUACUAAUUGUUGUAAAUCCCGGCGAGCUUCCGUCGCCGGCGAUCACACGGUGGCACUCGCGAACACACGAACGCAAGAAGAUUUUGUGCUGCUGUAACCAGCCACGUUUUCUGUAUUGCUUACUUGAAUAUAAAGGAAAACAAAACGCCUAACGAACUCCCUGAUCGUGGCAGUGUGCUGCCCUACAAGCGCGGCGUGCCGCUCCUUUUGGCCGUGGCAUCCCACGUCCAGCAUCCAGGCCGCGCAGCUCCUGAAGACGCGCUCCGCAUGCAUCCAUGCGCUGAGCUCCGACAGACUCGCUCAGCCUCAACACGGGCCAGCUUAUUUGACUCUAGCGACACCUAUACGUACACGAUUACAGGUAACAGUGCGGAUCGAUCCCCAGGUUCGUCGAACCGAACCGCAGAAACGACCCUAAUGGGCUCCUCCUCCGACCCACAAAGCCACUCUGGGUCAACGGUUUGGAAACACAGGAACCAAAGGAUCGCCAGGUUCGAUCCAUCCUCUUCGACUCGGCGGCACCGCGGCAUCUAUCGAGGCUGAGCUGCCGCCCCGUUCUCAGCUAGUUGUGUUUCCUCCGUCGGCGUCGCCCAUCGAGACACCUCUCCGUACACUUCGCUGCCCUCGCCGUCACGCUUCACCGGGCAUCGGCAUCUCCCGGCUGCACUUCGCAGGCUUCUCGAGCGCUUCCAUCUCCCCGCUCUUGCAUUUACUUUUCCUACGUCCCGGCCCCAAGGCCAAUUGCACUGGUAAACAAUUUUUACACUUGUGUGCAUUCAGAUAACCCAGUGUAUUGAUGUUGUUGUCAUUAAUCUCGAGACGCCUCCAAUUGCUGCCUUUUCCAACCAGUUUUAGAAAUUCGCUUUGAACCUCACUUGGCGUUGGGUUGUCUGUCAGAAUCAAGCGCUCCAUGGAUCACGUUGCCUGAGAGGCUGAGGUACCCGAGUGGGGCGCAGCUGCCGUGCUGCAAUCAGAUCGGCGGCCAAGCUUGUUUGCCAACAGGUCAAGCGCUGGUCAUGUCCAUCUUACUGAGCUUGUUCCCGGCGCAGGGCUUGCUCGGCCAUAGGUGGCACCGGCAGCAAGUCAUGCAUGUUGACCUCUGAAACAAGCCGCUCGAAUGUAUGCACGUCGUGAUCCUUGUCGCCGGCGGGCGGCGAACGUCAGCGUCGGACCCGCGACAACAAACUUGACGCCAUCGUUGUAGUUGGAGCAGCAUACAGCCAGCGGAGGUUGGCUGUGGAUCAGCGGAUGCCGCUCCUAGCUGCCGAGUAGCCCGCAAGCAAAGUAGUAAGCUUAAAUUAUUACUCCCUCCAUUCUAAAUUGUAAGCCAUUUUAUCUUCUCUAGGUGCAUAUAUAUUAUUAUACAUCUACAUAUAGUGUAAUAUCUAUGAACCUGGAAAAGCUAAAACAAUCUACAAAGCAUAAACACAUGGGUUGACCUGAGGUAUCUGUUAGCUUAAAUCCGUUGCAUAUCUUUGUAAAUACGUACUUGCAUGUGUUGAGUCGCGUCAGGUCGUUAGCUGGUAGGAACGAGUCAUGUGUGGGCUGGAGUCGUGCGUAGCUCACGGCAUGGCCAAGUGCUAUGUCUGGUCAGCGCCAGCGCCUUUGGCGGGCACAUGGCGUGGCGUCGCAAGGAAAUAGCACGUCGCGCACCUGGACGGUGUGGCGUGGGACUCGGUCCUGUAUUCCAAAUAAAGAGGAGCAGAAAAAUAGAAAACGCUGUAAUGUUAGCAGCACCAAAAUAUUCACUUUCCCGCAUGCGUAUCUGUGUUCUCGCCUCGCCGGCAGCGACGCCGUUCAAGCCGGGGCAACGCCCAGUUUCAACAACUGGCAUCAGAGCCGUUCGCCGGCGUCCAGGCGUGAAGAAGCUCUGGCGUGAGGGGAUUUCGGUGUUGGAUGAAAUAGAUCCCAUUCGAGAAGCCGCCCUCACCCAAGAGACUGCGCAUUGAGGAAGAGAAGAUGGCUAGCGACGACGAUGCAUCAGGAUCAGGCGGUCACCGUGUCGUCAAGGAGAGCACGUUGAUGUGGCCAAUGCUUACCCGCACCAAUUAUGCAGUUUGGGCGAUGAUGAUGAUGAAGAUCAAUUACGAAGCCCUUGAAAUAUGGGAUGCAAUCGAUCCUGGAAAGGAGGUGCCGCGGCCAAUAGAUAGGCAGGCUAUGGGCGCCCUAAUGCGCUCCGUGCCUAGUGACAUGUGGGCAGCGAUCGGUGCGAAGGCGAGCGUCAAGGAGGCAUGGGAUCUGUUAAAGACCAUGAGGCAAGGAACUGACCGUGUCAAGGCAGCCAAUGCUCAGAAGCUCCUCAAAGAGUUCGAGAACAUCGCGUUCAAGGAGGUGAGAGUGUGGAAGAUUUUGGCAUGAGGAUCAACAACCUCAUCGCAAACCUGAAGACCCUCGGCGAGGAAGUUGAAGAUAUUCGUGUCGUCAAGAAAUUCCCCCGUGUUGUGCCGGCUCAACUCAAUCAAGUCGCUGUCUCGAUCAAGAUGUUCUGCAAGAUGGAGGAACUCACGGUCGAGGAGCUGGUGGGCAGACUCCGUUCUGCUAAGGAUCGGUUCGAGCCAACGGUAGAUCAGGUAACUGACAAGGCCAGUCGGCUUCUGCUGACCGAGGAAGACUGGGCGGCGAGGAACAGGCAUCGUCUCCAGUCUGAGUCGUCAUCAUCUGGUGGCAAGAGUGGUGCAUACUCCGGCGACAAGGGGAAGGCUGCAGCGCGCGGUGAUUCUGGCAUCAAGCUCAUGUCGAUGGGAACGCCACGACGCAAGGGGAGGUGCAAGAACUGCGACAUCUAUGGACACUGGGCCAAGGAGUGCAAAAAGCCGAAGAAGGAGGAGCGGCAGGAGGCCGCUCAUGUGGCGAGGGCCGACAUCGAGCAGCCGGCACUGCUGCUGACGGAGGUUUGUAGCGUCGUGCACACCUCUCUUACAGUCUUACCCAGAGCGUAUUCCUGAAUCAGGAACGCGUGUUCCCAGGGGAGUACGACGAGGGCGCCUGGAUCCUUGACACGGGCGCAACAAACCACAUGAUGGGGUGCCGUGAGGUGCUAACGUCACUCGACGAGAUGGUGCGUGGUGUCGUCCGCUUUGAAGAUGGCUCCAAGGUGGAGAUCUGUGGACUUGGUGCAGUGAUGGUCUCAGGCAGAAAUGAGGAACACAGGGUCCUCACAGAGGUAUUCUUCAUCCCAUCGUUGAAAUGCAAUAUUAUCAAUCUUGGACAGUUAGAAGAAGGAGGCUACAGAAUUGAGAUUGACAAUGGCAUCCUGCAAGUGCUCGAUCGGGAUUGUGCAGUCCUGGUGGAGGCGACGCGCAAGAACCGGCUGUACACCAUGAAGCCGACUCUGUGCGCGCUAGUCUAUCUGCUGUCCAAGAUGGAGGAGGAAGCGUGGCGAUGACAUGCUUGAUAUGGGCAUCUGAACUUCCGAUCCCUACGGGAGUUGGGAGUGAAGGAGAUGGUUGAUGGCAUACCACUGAUCCGGCGGGGCGAGCAGGUGUGUGAUGGUUGCGCACUCGGGAAGCAGCAUCGCACGCCGUUCCCACAGGCCUCGACGUAUCGUGCAAAGCGCGGACUGGAGCUGUUCCAUGGUGACUUGUGUGGCCACAUCUCUCCACCGACUCCAGGAGGGAAGUCAUUUUUCCUCCUCAUCGUGGAUGACUAUAGCAGGUUCAUGUGGCUUGAGCUGUUGACAGCAAAGGACGAGGCGUUCCAGUACUUUAAGAAGGUCUAGGCAGCAGCUGAACGUGAGCACAGACGCCAUCUCAAGGCGUUCAGAAGCGACCGCGGUGGUGAUUUCAACUCAAAUAUGUUCACUGCAUAUUGUAAUGAGCAGGGGAUCAAGCACAACACCACAGCACCGUACUCACCUCAACAAAACGGCAUUGUCAAGCGCCGGAACCAAUCGGUGGUCGAGAUGGCUCGGUGCUUGCUGAAAAGCAUGCGGGUGCCAGCCAAAUCCUGGGGAGUAGCAAUCAAGACGGCCGUGUACAUCCUUAACCGGUCGCCUACACGAAGCUUGGAGGGGAGAACCCCAUUCGAGGCCUGGUACGGGAAGAAGCCCAGCGUUCGUCAUCUGCGCACUUUUGGGUACGUGGCCUAUGCCAAGCGCGUCAGCCCUGGCAUCACCAAGCUGGCGGAUAGGUCCGUUCCGGGGGUGUUCUUCGGCUAUGAACCCGGGACCAAGGCCUAUAGGGUCUAUGACCCAGUGGGCAAGAAGCUGAUGGUCACCUGAGAUGUAAUCUUCAACGAGAAGAAGGCGUGGAACUGGGCGGCGGACGACGCGACCCCGGUCAAAACUGCAGCACCACUGACAGCGCACUUCCCAGUCACUGUUGGUGGUCCGAUAAUAGCUCCAUUAGACGCACAAGCGCCUAAAUCAGUACAGGGAGAGCCAUCAUCACCUGAGCCGCAAAACUCGGCGGUCGGAGGCAGAUCACCGGCAACACCUCAGUACUCCACCGAGGACCCCGAAGUGCCGGAGCUCACUCCCUUGCCGUUUCAAGUUCAAUGGGCAAUGCCACCAUCUGAAGGAGCAGAAGACUCUGAGGGAGUACCACUGCGUUUCAGAACCAUCCCUGAUCUCCUGGACACAACUGAGGAGGUAAUGGAUUUUGAGUACAGUGGUUUAUGCCUACUAGCUGCAGAUGAGCCCGCUGGGGUAGAGGCAGCUCUAGCCGAGGAUUGCUGGAAGAAGGCCAUGGAAGCUGAGCUAGGAGCAAUCAAGGAGAACAACACCUGGGAGCCAAGCAGACUACCUGCUAGACAGCGUGCAAUUGGUCUCAAAUGGGUAUUCAAGGUGAAAAGAGAUCCUGCAGGAAAUAUUGUGAAGCACAAGGCAUGUUUGGUAGCAAAAGGCUAUGCUCAACGACAAGGGAUCGAUUUUGAUGAAGUGUAUGCACCGGUGGCCCAUAUUGAAAUAGUCCGAUUGAUUUUGGCACUUGCAACUCAUGGCGGGUGGCAAGUUCAUCACAUGGAUGUUAAAUCGGCGUUUCUGAAUGGUGAUCUCAAGGAGGAAGUUUAUGUCAGUCAGCCACCAGGAUUUGUGAUCAGAGAUGAUCAACACAAGGUUCUGAAACUGAACAAAGUGUUGUAUGGAUUGCGUCAGGCACCGAGGGCAUGGAAUGCAAGGCUUGACAGGGAACUGAUUCAGCUUGGGUUUGUCAGAAACAAGCUAGAGCACGCUGUGUACAGAAGAGGUGAUGAAAAAUCCUUUCUGAUAAUUGGUGUAUAUGUUGAUGAUCUGAUCAUAGUAGGGCCAAGAGCUGAAGACAUAGCUGAAUUUAAGAAGGAGAUGCAACACAGAUUCAGCAUGAGUGACCUGGGGUUACUAAGCUACUAUCUGGGGAUUGAGGUAAAGCAAGAAUCUGAUGGCAUCACUGUCAGUCAGAGUUCUUAUGCAGCCAAGAUACUAGAAGUGGCUGGUAUGUCCAAGUGCAAUCCUACCAAGACACCACUUGAGGUAGGAAUGAAGUUGAGCAAGAAAGAUGCAGGAGAAAGCGUGGAUGCCAAAAAGUACAGGAGCAUCAUUGGGAGCCUGAGAUAUCUUGUGAAUACUAGGCCUGAUCUUGCACAUUCAGUGGGGCUGGUUAGCAGGUAUAUGGAAGCUCCAGGGAUGCAGCAUUGGAAGGCAGUGAAGCAGAUCCUCAGAUACAUCAAAGGGACUUUGGAACAUGGCUGCCAUUACAAGAGAAAUCAGUCACAAGUAACUGACCUUAUAGGUUACAGUGACAGUGAUUUUGCUGGAGAUGUUGAUGACAGGAAGAGUACUAUAGGCAUGGUAUUUUUCCUGGGCACAAGUCUGAUCACUUGGAUGUCACAGAAGCAAAGAAUCGUGGCUCUUUCAUCCUGUGAAGCAGAAUACAUGGCAGCAGCAGGUGCAGCAUGUCAGGGUGUUUGGCUCAGUCGUCUUCUUGCUGAACUGACAGCCAAAGAGCCAGCUAUUGUGAAACUGAAAGUCGACAACAUGUCAGCAAUAGCUCUGAGCAAGAAUCCGGUUCAUCAUGACAGGAGCAAGCAUAUUGAUGCGAAGUUUCAUUACAUCAGAGAGUGCAUUGACCAUGGCAUCGUGGAGGUUGAUCAAGUGGAGACUGCUGAGCAAUUGGCAGACGUCCUGACCAAAGCUCUUGGCCGCAUCAAGUUUGUCGAGAUGAAGAACAAGCUUGGAGUUGGCUCGGUGCAAAGGAUUUAGGGGGUGAUUUGUUAGCUUAAAUCCGUGGCAUAUCUUUGUAAAUACGUACUUGCAUGUGUUGAGUCGCGUCAGGUCGUUAGCUGGUAGGAACGAGUCGUGUGUGGGCUGGAGUCGUGCGUAGCUCACGGCAUGGUCAAGUGUUUUGUCUGGUCAGCGCCACAGCGCCUUUAGCGGGCACGUCGUGUGGCGUCGCAAGGAAAUAGCACAUCACGCACCUGGGCAGUGUGGCGUGGGACUCGGUCCUGUAUUCCAAAUAAAGAGAAAUAAAAAACGUUGCGACGUUGGCAGCACCAAAUUAUCCACUUUCUCGUGUGCCUAUCUGCGUUCUCGCCUCGCCGGCAGCGACGCCGUUCAAGCCGGGGCACCGCCGGUUUCAACAGUAUCCAUUGGAGCACCGAGGUUCAGCAGCUGAUUGAAAUGGAGCAACCGGUGCUCCUCUGGGUAUCAAAUAGAUCGCUGGAUCGAUUACGGUUCGCUCCAUGGUUGAACCAUGCCCAUCUUUAGACGCCAUUGUUAAUUACCGCAGCGACCAAAUGAAACUACAUGAGUGCACCCUUCCCUCUCCUACACAUCAGCAUGUACAGCAUCUACGUUAGUACCUAGUUAUGAACAUACUGCACUGAAUUCUGUUAGCAUUAUUCAAGCAUGAGCGUGAGAGAAACCUCUGACUACAUCCGCGGGCAACAUGUGAGGAUCGUCGAUCAGACAUCAGAGAUGGACUCUUCGGAUAAGAUCCUUACCGUCUGUGCUCACAACUCUGAAUUCUCUGCUACACCGAACGCACUAGUCUGAAUCCGAAACUGAACUGGGUACUUGGAUUGGAUGACAUCUUGUUACCACGAGUAGUGCAGCAUGCUGACUAUUACAGGUUAAUCUGCAGGUGGCAACAACCAAGCCAGAGCAGCCAUUGGCGUCCCAACGCUUUCCUGAUCCACCGCGGGCACCCCACGUCCACCUCUAGUUGUGGCCUCCACUCCGGUGGACACGAAGACCGUCGCAACUCGCAACGCGGUGGGGGAAUCAGGGAAGCAUCAGCCACGACGACGCUCCAUCCGCCGCCUCCGGUGCUCCCCCGACGGCCGAAUCGCUCGUCCACGGCCGCGGUGACAGCCCGCCGCCAACUCGCCGCUUCUCCUGCCCAAACAUUGAAACUAACACUGCAUGCUCUGCCGUGGGGAGGGCGCCGCGGAGGGCGGAAGCGCGGUGGCGGCCGCCGGCAGUGAAGUGCGGUGGCGGACGGUCGAGAGCGGGAGGGGCUCAAUUCUAUAAAAUAACAGGGGGUACAUUGAAAAUAUUUGGAUCGCGAUCAUUGAUCGCGAUCCAAAUCAGGGGUUUAUUCGUAAAUAUUAGGGGGUAUUUUGUAAAUAUUUGGAUAAGGGGGCACGUGCAAGUACGCCGGGACGGCGGGCGGAUGGCCAACACGGCGGCCGGCGAGGCUGUGCUGUCCCCUCCGCCGGGCAUCCGGCGGGAACUCCCCGUCAGCUCUGCUGCGGCCUGCGGUAUUCUCGCCGCUCACAGCCAUAGCUGAGGUCUACGCCACGGAAAGGCUCCGCCAGCCACCGCCGGAGCAGCCUCUCGACGCCAUGGCCACCCCACCCGGGCACCCGGCAUGGGCGUCCCCGCCGGAAUCGGUGCCCGCGACGCAACGAGCCCGCGACGCGCACGCCGCGGGAUACGAGCCAUUUCUCCUAGCCCAGGUACAAGUACAACCACAGCAUCCCCAUCCCGCACAUCCAUCCUUCCUUCAAGCGUCGCCGCCUCCACGGCGCCGUAUCCUCGUGAGGCGCGCGCAAGCACCGGAACGAAAAAGCAUCUAGUCACCAGCGCCGAGAUCCGGGCAUGGCCAAUGUCCGAGCGCCGCCGCCGCCGGCAGUGCUGGAGCAGCAGUUGUCGGCGUCGUGGACAAACGGCGCCGGAAGCCUGCUGCCGGGUCCAGCCUCUCCGCCUGGGCCUCGGCCGCGUGCUGUGGGCGAUCCGCGCGGCAUCCACGUCUUCCGUGGGCCGUGGCGCCGCUCGGGCCCCGGGACUUAAUUGUCUGAUAUGGCCCAUGGGCAUUUUGUGAACCAUGGGUUUGGGCUGUACUGCCCCCAAGGCCCAAACUCUCCAUGAUUGGGCUACGGCUCAUCUCUCUGUCUUCCCUCAUCAGCAGUCAGCAGGGAGGACAGCCAAAAAGUGUAGUACGCGCCAUGGCGGAGUCAUGGCGGGAUCCGGUGCUCCGCGAGCCGCCGGCGAAGCGGAGGGAUAUCGACCCCAUCGCCCCGACCAAGCAUCCUUGGAACCUGCCCGCAAGACUCUCACUCCCACACUGCUCGUGUAACCCAGGUGCGGUCCGGAACCUAGCCUUCAUGUUCCAAAUGUCGUCCUGUUUUACCUGCUUCGUGGCACUGAAACUAAAAUUAUGUAAUCAGAGGACAGUUAUGUGGCGAUACCCCGGGAGGCAAACCUGCCAAUCGACGAAGAGGCUAGGAGGGUUGUGGCCGGAGUGUCCCAGGCAGUCGUCGCCGUCGCCUCCAUCGACGGUAGCUUCAUGGGUCCUCUUUUGCGUGUUCCUGAUUCCUGCACCGUGUUAAAAUGUGCCAAAUCUUCCGGUUUCUUUAAUUAAAAAAAAUUGAACCUUGCUCCGUCUUGGGUGGCGUGGGGGGAUUGGCCGCUCAAAUAUUUCCCCUGUUUUUGGCCCCCCUCUACAACGGGCAACAUUGUGCUCUCAUGUACAUAUGCACUCUAAUCUUAACUACAACGGGCAACAUUAAGCAAGAAUGCACCUUUACAACAUGUCCUUGAUUUUUUUGCUAGCUAUUAGUGUAAAGGUAGAAGGAACCGGUUAGUCCUGUUGUAGCCAAUAAGUUGAACAGGAAAAAGAUACCAUAGCGCAUCACGCUGCACAAGACUGUACACAUUACCGCAAGCCCGCCACAUUAUGUGUUUGGACCAUGAUACCUAACUGAGGCCACUAACCUAAAUAUGGGAUAACAAACUGCGGAGUUUCGUGAUUUUUUAGUAGUAUAUAUGGUUAGAAAAUGAGGACUUGGACAAGACUGCAAACAAAACUUAUUAACUAUAUAUGGUUCAGUAUCAUUUUCUUUUAGGAUAACAGAAAAACCUUGCAAAAGAAACAAAAGGCAGGAGAAUGAGAUUAUGCAAACUCUAAAGUUUUAUAGUUUACUGAUGCACAUGCUUUGUGCAAGUUAACAAAUUGUCACAAGGCUGCUCUUAUAACUUUUGACAGUUAGUUUGUAGCUUGGUAGAAUUUGGUGACAUUAGAUCCUCUUUCUUUGCGUAUUUUAUUCACGAGCUUCUUUUAUAGGAGGUAUUGCCGUCCAAGUAUAAUGGCUUUCGGUGUGAAUUUGCAUAAUGCCCAGUCUUCACCUUGGAUGAAAGUUCCCACGACUUUGCAUGAAGGGUUGGAUGGUCUUGUUGUUGAGCUGGUAUGUCCCAUGUUCAUUAUUUGCUUUGACUUGCUUGUUAAAUGUACAACUCAUGUUCAUGAUUGUUUAAUCUGCUCGUUGAAUAUGGAAAUGCAGUUUGUUUCAAUAUUAAAUACUCCCUCCGAUCUAGUUGCUCAAACUUCUUAACUUGGUCCAUCAAUAUAUUGAUAACACAUGGUUGAUGUUGUUAGAUUCUUCAUGGUAAGUACUUUCAUAAUAUAUAACUUUCUCUAUUUGAAAUAUUAUACUUUUACAAAAAAAGAUUGAGACAAAGUAUCAUACUGGAGACAGCAUCGAUGUCCAAAAUGACCUACGUUUGGAAUCAGAGGGAGUAAUAACCGAAAUGACAUAUGUAUAAAUACUAUAAGUGGUGUACAUUUUGACCAGCCAGACUUAUGUGCGAACAAAAUAGGUGAUGUUCAUUUAUAUAAUUCUACCAUUUUUCUGAAGUCUUGCUAACUGGAUGCCUGUCUCCUACAAGGCACUGCGAGCUGCUUCAUCAGUUGGACUACGGCAAAGGGAUCUAAUUAUUCAGUGCAAUGGAAGACGUGUUGCUACAAGUUUACAGGUACUUCCAUAACUUUUGUCAUGAAACUAAUUGUUUUUUGUGGCAUUGGCACUCAUGUUUGCUGUGAGGCUGCACUCAUAUAUGCUUUGUUUCAAUUUUGGUUUGACGAGUUGUUCGAAAUAUUGGUGGAAAAUAUUGGAAAGAUGGUGGAGUUGACUGUUAUAAAGGCUGAGGAUGGCACUGCACAUUCAAUACAUCUUCCUGUGGAGGAGACCGUGGAGAAGAAUUUCUACUCGUAAUUAUCCCUCCCCUAGUUUUAUGUUGAACAUUUUUUUCAUAUUCGUAUUUUACUUUAUAAUUAUGGCAGGUGGCCAAUCUCAAACUACCAUGGAGGAUUUCUCUAGCUGCUGUGGAAGAUUCUACAUUAUCUGUUGCCUAAUUCAGAACUGGUGAAUGAUGUUUGUGUUUGUUGGAGCCUUUUACAUUUACGUGUAGGACGCUGGUGAAGCAGACUGUUAGUUUCUGUGUCAUUUAUAAGUGUAUAAAUACUUAGAAGAAAUAGAACACUUGGAGCUUAAUGACUCAACAUAUCUUCUUGGUAGCAUUGCACACAGCAAUACCAAAUCUUUUUUUCAGGUUCCCUGACCUGCACCACUUUGUUGUCCGGUGUUUCUGUCUGUAACUCAUCUUGGUUACCAGUUUUGAGUAAAGCUGUAAAUCGUGAGCUAAAGUAUCAAUGCUGGAGCUUUAGAGAAACUUACUCGCUUCCCACCUCUGAUGUCAAUCACAUAUGCUUAUAUAAUUCACUUAACCAAGAAAGUACAGUAGCGAGCAAAAAAAUUUCCUGUUCCUUCGUUUCUGGAUUCUUGCUUGACCUAGCUAGUGAGCAAGUCCACUCCGAGAGCUAGGACCAUGUACAUCUAAUUGAUACAUGUACUAUACUAUGCCAUGUAUUUGAGCAUUCUUUGUUUGACUUGUAAAAAAAAACCCAGUUUUAAACCCUCAACUACUCUCGGUUCAUUUCUCAGUUAAUUGCAUGGUCGAAAUGUAAAUAAAACUGUGCAGAGCACAGCUCACAACUCUUGAAUCCGUCUUGCAAAACACCCUCGACUUGAAACUUAGGUAACGUUUGGUUCACUGUAACGUAAAUAGAAGGUAAGAGAUUAUGUUACACGUGUUUGUUUCAGCGUGGCCUGUAAUCCAUUACCCCCGUAAUCAUAUUACAGCCCAUUCAAAAACGUUACAGCUGCAUAUCCGCUGUAAACGGAUCACAGCCAGAUCCUUGCAACUUGCCUUUCUCUUCAACCAUAGCUCUGGUAUUUGUUUGCGUUUACAGUGUUGAACCAAACAAAAUUAGAGAUUUGAUCCAUCCAUUACCGUUAGUGUUGUAUUUCAUUUCCGUUUGCGUUUACGUUUGCAGUCCAUAACCAAAACACUAUCUUAGUGGUGUUGCACAUCAUUGUACACCAUUGACAGGUUAGAUUGACCUGGUGAUGGAGUGCGCUGCACGUAGUGCGUGGUCAAUCUAACAACCCUGGUCAUCAAGAGCAGCUAGCACAAGGUCUGGCACCAACCUAAGCGGUUGGCGACGACCAAAACGCGUACAUGCCCAACCACACCGACAUGCAUCGCAACCAACCAGACGCGUGCGAUUCAGGUCUCGCGCCUAGCUAUAUAUACGGAUCAGAAAGGGGCUCUUCUGAAAACUGAACAACAUUCAAUCAGCCACAGUUUUUGCACUCGCAGCCUCACAGGACGCAGGCAGAAAACAAAGGCUCAGGCCCAAGCACACGCAGGGGCCAGGAAGGAAACAUGGCUGCCGGCGCCGCCUCGUCGACGUCGAGGAGCCUCGCCGCCGCCACCUGCCUCCUCGCCCUGCUCUUCGCCGCUUGCCUAGCCGCCGCCCUGCCAGGCGCCGACGCGCGCCGUCUGCUCGCCACGGCGAUGCCGCCCGCGUCCCCGGGGAUGGCACCGUCUCCUACGCCGGGCGCCGACUACGCCAGCGGCCGGUUGCUUCUCGAGGGAGGUCGUGAGCUCCUCGACGGCGGCCUUCGCCUCGCGGGGAGGCUGCUUCUUGGCCUCGGACUCUGAUCGGGAUAUAUCGAUCGACCUACAUACAACUCGAGCGGCCGGCGGAUCCAGUGCUGACCUUCCUGGCCGUUGUUGUCACGCUACUGCGUUGCGUCCUCGCCGUCGGUUGAUCUUCGUUGUGGCGUCUUUUGCCGGUUGAUUAUGUGCACACGCGUGUUUUUCUUUCAUGAUGACCAUCGUUAUGUGUAAUUCCCUUCCAUUCUUGAAUGUGUGAUGUUGGUUCGUCCAAUUUUGAACGAAGAUAUGGUAUCAUAUUAAUAAGAAUACAUUUUGUUUUAUGUGACUCGGAGAGCCUUCGAAAAUCUUUAACUCGGGCUGGCACUAUUUUCUGCAUGUGAAUUUGAUGAUACUCUAUCCGAGCCCUUUCAAAAAAAAAACCUUAUGUUGAAAUAUGAAUCCAAUGAUAUUAAUUUUUGUAGGCUAUUAAAUUUGAAAUAUGAAUCCAAUAAUAUUUGCGCCUUAAGAAAGGAGUAGGAUGUUUGUGUAGCAUGCAUGUGAACGAUAACGCGCGUCCUUCCAGCAACCAAUGAAAGAUUCAGCGCAUUUUGGGGAAGAAACUUAUGUGCAGCAGACUGAGAUUGCAAACUUGCGCUCUAAACGGAGUUGGAUAGGAGCGACAAUGUAAGUACAAUCUUACCGAGAUAUGAGUGGAUUAUAUUUUACUACUCAACAGUACAAUCUGCCACUGGUUCAUUACUUUAGUACAAUCGGACUGUAAAAAAUGGGAUGUAAACGAACUAACGAAGGUUUAAUUAGGAGUAGUUAGUACAUGAUCUAAUUAAAAUGCAUGAAUUUUUCCUAGUACUGUAGCCAGCAUCCUUGACCUUGAGUAUGAAUCUUGGCACACAUUUGCGGAAUUAAAAUAAAGUGCUGGGAGGCGCCAAAAUGUUUGCAUCCUGGCUGACCGGAAAAGAAUCAACGUAACAACCCGCGGCGUGUAACCUGUACACACGAAAGACAUGACGACCGAACCUACCAGCAGUGAGCUAGUGCGGUGCACGUAUCGAUGGGUCAACCAAACGUGAUGGCACACACGCGUACUCCUACACCAACUGAUGCGCACCUUAUUGACGCGUGCCCGCACCGACACGUCUCGCUCUCGCUCCACCAAACGGGCUCGACUAUAUAAACGAAUAGAUACGGGACAAGGCUUCCACGCCUCGUCACAUUCAGCCACACACACCAUUUGCGCAGCCACGAGCAUCUAGGCAAGCGAAGAGCCAUGGCCGCCGCGUCGUCGAGGAGCCUCGCCGCGGCCUGCGUCCUCUCCGUGCUCCUCGCCGGCUGCCUGGCAACCGCCGCCGACGCGCGCCGCCUGCUGCUUGUCACGGCAGCGAUGCCUCCGGUGGCCGACUACAUGGACAUGACCAUGUCCCCGGCGCUGGCGCCCGGGCCCGAGCCGGGCUCCGACGACCUCGCCGGCACGAUGCUUUUCCAUGGCCGGGGCCUGCUCGACGGCGGCAUCCGACUCGCGGGGAGGCUGCUCCUUGGCCUCGGACUCUGAUCUAUCUGCAUGCACGGCAGACAUGACCUUCUUCGAUUGUGUUUAUGCAUGUGUGCCCUUGGAUUUCAUACUUCUUAGUUCUUGUGCUCCAUUCCUGCAGCUUUGUCUUUCUUUUUCCCUUUUUCUUUAACAUUCAGCAUAAUAUGGUCUUUAAUUUUGGUACAGUUAAUCUUCCUUCGCAAUUUCUGGCCGUGUUUGUUGUUUAGUAGCAAGUGAAAUGAGGUGCUGUUUCGCUGGUGUAAGGAUUGCUCUCUGCAAUGUUCACAUAAGUUGUUUAUGAGAAUAUUAUAGCUACUUGUGUUUCUUGCAAUGUGGGCAAAGCUUCUCUGCUGAUCUCUCCGCGCGGUCAUUCUUUCUACAGCAUGGCAAGAAAAGUAUCAUGAGCAAUCACCACCCCCAAGCAUCGGAUCGGAGAUGCCGGUUACAAUAUUCUAAUUAAACUGAACCUACAAAUGAAACUACAUAUAUGAUGCUGCCUCAACUCUCUGAUGAACACCUGGAUGUCAACUCACGGAUCACCUGUUCAAAAUCAUCAGGUGUCAUGAUAUACUCAAUGGAUUACGAGUCAAUUUCAGAGUAAAGAAAGCCCUAGUAUGAAUGUCCGAAUCGGAUUGCGAAUGCAAAGUUUUGUUUAUUUUUUCCUUGAUUUAUUUCAACUUGCAAAAGCUCGAGAUUGAUCGAGUAACUACGUUUGGGACUCCCAUAACAGGACG